GAUGAACGCUGGCGGCGUGCUUAACACAUGCAAGUCGAACGAUGAAGCCCUGCUUUCUUGGUGUGCUAGUGGCGCACGGGUGUGUGACACACGUGUAUACUCUGCUUAACACUUUGGUAUACCUUCGAGACUGUGUCUAUUAUCCGAGAUGAGCGCCUCCCGCAUGUUGGGUGUUGGGGAGAGUUUUCGGUUUUGGAUGGACUCGCGGCGUAUCAGCUUGUUGGUGGGGUAAUGGCUCACCAAGGCGACGACGGGUAGCCGGCCUGAGAGGGUGACCGGCCACAUUGGGACUGAGAUACGGCCCAGACUCCUACGGGAGGCAGCAGUGGGGAAUAUUGCACAAUGGGCGAAAGCCUGAUGCAGCAACGCCGCGUGCGGGAUGACGGCCUUCGGGUUGUAAACCGCUUUCACUAGUGACGAAGCGAGAGUGACGGUAAUGGGUAAAGAAGCACCGGCUAACUACGUG
rnacentral:rRNA from 1 species